rnacentral:lncRNA from 1 species
CGGAAUCGGAAUGGCACCAGACUUAGCGGGCGGCCUCCGUGUGCCAAAAAUAGGCAACGGGCACAGCCGCGCCCAAAAAACAGCCCCCGAAGUUCGGGGUCCCAAGACCCCCCAGCGGAAAAAUGGCCAAAAAACGGGUGGGCUAUAGCCUUGGUGGGGGGCGUGGGCGAAGUUCGUCCGCGGGACUCGGAAUGGCACCAGACUUGGCGGGCGGCCUCCGUGUGCCAAAAAUAGGCCACGGGCACAGCCGCGCCCAAAAAACAGCCCCCGAAGUUCGGGGUCCCAAGACCUCCCAGCGGAAAAAUGGCCAAAAAACGGGUGGGCUAUAGCCUUGGUGGGGGGCGUGGGCGAAGUUCGUCCGCGGGACUCGGAACGGCACCAGACUUGGCGGGCGGCCUCCGUGUGCCAAAAAUAGGCCACGGGCACAGCCGCGCCCAAAAAUCAGCCCCCGAAGUUCGGGGUCCCAAGACCUCCCAGCGGAAAAAUGGCCAAAAAACGGGUGGGCUAUAGCCUUGGUGGGGGGCGUGGGCGAAGUUCGUCCGCGGGACUCGGAACGGCACCAGACUUGGCGGGCGGCCUCCGUGUGCCAAAAAUAGGCCACGGGCACAGCCGCGCCCAAAAAUCAGCCCCCGAAGUUCGGGGUCCCAAGACCCCCCAGCAGAAAAAUGGCCAAAAAACGGGUGGGCUAUAGCCUUGGUGGGGGGCGUGGGCGAACUUCGUCCGCGGGACUCGGAAUGGCACCAGACUUGGCGGGCGGCCUCCGUGUGCCAAAAAUAGGCCACGGACACAGCCGCGCCCAAAAAACAGCCCCCGAAGUUCGGGGUCCCAAGACCCCCCAGCGGAAAAAUGGCCAAAAAACGGUGGGCUAUAGCCUUGGUGGGGUGCGUGGGCGAAGUUCGUCCGCGGGACUCGGAAUGGCACCAGACUUGGCGGGCGGCCUCCGUGUGCCAAAAAUAGGCCACGGGCACAGCCGCGCCCAAAAAACAGCCCCCGAAGUUCGGGGUCCCAAGAACCCCCAGCGGAAAAAUGGCCAAAAAACGGGUGGGCUAUAGCCUUGGUGGGGGGCGUGGGCGAAGUUCGUCCGCGGGACUCGGAAUGGCACCAGACUUGGCGGGCGGCCUCCGUGUGCCAAAAAUAGGCCACGGGCACAGCCGCGCCCAAAAAACAACCCCCGAAGUUCGGGGUCCCAAGACCUUCCAGCGGAAAAAUGGCCAAAAAACGGUGGGCUAUAGCCUUGGUGGGGGGCGUGGGCGAAGUUCGUCCGUGGGACUCGGAAUGGCACCAGACUUGGCGGGCGGCCUCCGUGUGCCAAAAAUAGGCCACGGGCACAGCCGCGCCCAAAAAACAGCCCCCGAAGUUCGGGGUCCCAAGACCCCCCAGCGGAAAAAUGGCCAAAAAACGGGUGGGCUAUAGCCUUGGUGGGGGGCGUGGGCGAAGUUCGUCCGCGGGACUCGGAAUGGCACCAGACUUGGCGGGCGGCCUCCGUGUGCCAAAAAUAGGCCACGGGCACAGCCGCGCCCAAAAAACAGCCCCCGAAGUUCGGGGUCCCAAGACCCCCCAGCGGAAAAAUGGCCAAAAAACGGGUGGGCUAUAGCCUUGGUGGGGGGCGUGGGCGAAGUUCGGCCGCGGGACUCGGAAUGGCACCACACUUGGCGGGCGGCCUCCGUGUGCCAAAAAUAGGCCACGGGCACAGCCGCGCCCAAAAAACAGCCCCCGAAGUUCCGGGUCCCAAGACCCCCCAGCGGAAAAAUGGCCAAAAAACGGUGGGCUAUAGCCUUGGUGGGGGGCGUGGGCGAAGUUCGUCCGCGGGACUCGGAAUGGCACCAGACUUGGCGGGCGGCCUCCGUGUGCCAAAAAUAGGCCACGGGCACAGCCGCGCCCAAAAAUGAGCUCCCGAAGGUCGGGUUCCAACACCCCCCAGCGGAAAAAUGGCCAAAAAACGGCUGCGCUAUAGCCUUGGUGGGGGGCGUGGGCGAAGUUCGUCCGCCGGACUCGGAAUGGCCCCAGACUUUGCGGGCGGCCACCGUUUGCCAAAAAUAGGCCACGGGCACAGCCGCGCCCAAAAAUGAGCGCCCGAAGGUCGGGGCGCCAACACCCCCCAGCGGAAAAAUGGCCAAAAAACGUGUGGGCUAUAGCCUUGGUGGGGGGCGUGGGCGAAGUUCGUCCGCCUGACUCGGAAUGGCCCCAGACUUUGCGGGCGGCCUCCGUGUGCCAAAAAUAGGCCACGGGCACAGCCGCGCCCAAAAAUGA